GACGAACGCUGGCGGCGUGCUUAACACAUGCAAGUCGAACGGAAAGGCCCUGCCUUUGUGGGGUGCUCGAGUGGCGAACGGGUGAGUAACACGUGAGUAACCUGCCCUUGACUUUGGGAUAACUUCAGGAAACUGGGGCUAAUACCGGAUAGGAGCUCCUGCUGCAUGGUGGGGGUUGGAAAGUUUCGGCGGUUGGGGAUGGACUCGCGGCUUAUCAGCUUGUUGGUGGGGUAGUGGCUUACCAAGGCUUUGACGGGUAGCCGGCCUGAGAGGGUGACCGGCCACAUUGGGACUGGGAUACGGCCCAGACUCCUACGGGAGGCAGCAGGGGGAAAUAUUGCACAAUGGGCGGAAGCCUGAUGCAGCAACGCCGCGUGCGGGAUGACGGCCUUCGGGUUGUAAACCGCUUUCGCCUGUGACGAAGCGUGAGUGACGGUAAUGGGUAAAGAAGCACCGGCUAACUACGUG
rnacentral:rRNA from 1 species